CACAGUAGUCACAAUCAGUCCUUGCGCAUACUUCGCGGUAGAGAGGUGUUCGUCGCGUCCUGUCACUGUCGGCAUACUUCAAUGUAUUCGAGACAAGGAUUUUUUCGACCGGCGGUCUCUCGCGAGCCUUCUAAUCGCUAUCGCGGCUUCGAAAGCUUAGUGCUCUGAAACGCCGGUCGCGGAUUAGUGCGCGGAUUCAGUUUCGGUACAAGUGGCGGAAAGCUAGCAGUGAGAACGAGAGACCGGAGAGGGAGAGAGAGUGAGAGGAGGACGAAUGGUGUGCGGCCCGUGAUCGAUCCCACAGUGUGUCUCGUUAAGGUGUUUUUUUUUUCGCGAUUUCUCGUCGCUGAUCUCUAUUAUGUCGAUGAUCGCGUGUGUCGAUAAAUGGCUUUGACUCGUGGUGUGCUCGCAAACGACAGAACGCCCGCAACGAUGCUGCCGCAGACACCUGAUAUCAUCCCGACUACGCUCAACCAACAAAAAUGCGUGAAGGCGCGAGCACUUUAUGACAAUAUUGCCGAGGCGCCCGACGAGCUGGCGUUUCGAAAAGGGGAUGUUCUCACUGUACUGGAACAAAAUACCGCUGGUCUUGAGGGAUGGUGGUUGUGCGCUCUGCGAGGUAGACAGGGCAUCUGUCCAGGAAAUCGAUUGAGACUUCUGGUUGGCCAAUACGAUACAGGGGGUUGUUUGGUCGGCAGCAGAGCCGACCUAACCAUUUCUGAGGACGGCAUACAAAGACAUGGGAAGAGACGUAGCUGGCACGUGCAGCCCAAUAGGGUUGUUACACCACAGAAAUGCGGAGACGUCUACCUGUACGACCUUCCAGCCAGCCGGGGAAGUCCUGCGCCGCCCUCCAGACACGACUCACCCCUCAACUCGACGAACAAUGAGCAUUCGCACAAUACAGGGCGAUACACCAACAGCAGUAACAGCGCGAGGAAUUCCGUCGACAACGGAGGCGAUGCGAACGAGUGUUAUGACGUACCGCCGCGCGCGAUCCCGGUGAUACCGUCGCCGGCGAGCAGCCCGAGCCCGGCCCCGUCGUGCUAUGACAUCCCGAGGCCGCCGACAUCCUGCACGCCUAACUCAAAUAGCUCCGGUGUCACGCCGCUGGAUUGCUACGACGUGCCGCGACCCCUGCAACCCCUCACGCCCAGCAGCUCGGCCUCCAGCCUCACCAAUGACGGAUCCCUCAGUGGCUCGAACAGAUCGAGUUUGGCCGCUCCGGAUUAUGAUGUACCUCGACCACGUCUUCCAGUAUCCUCGUUGCCGUCUCGACAUAACACUCCCGUACCGAACACUCCGACGCCCCCGCCACCCUCACAGCAAAUUUACGACGUACCAGUCAGCAAGGAGCUUCCGCUGGAGUUGGACUCCGCCCUGGAAGGCUUGCAGAGAUUGCAGAAUGAGGCGUCCGCCGCGAUAGCGAGGUUACUGGGUUUCGUGAGCCCUGGAUGGAGAACACCGCAACGAUUGGACGCCACUCUUAUGGACCUAAGACUGGCUGCUCUCAGACUCCGAACGUCUCUACACGAUCUAGCUGAAUUCGCGGAAGGUACGCUAGGCAAUGCAGGCAAAGCGCCGGAUAAAGGUCUAGCAACGAAAUUACGACCGCUAGUAAAAGCGCUUCGUGAUUCCGACAAGCUCGUGCAGGAAGCCGCUACUGAAUUGGACACGAUGGAAUGGGAUGCGAGCAAGCUCUGCCGCGGCGGUGGUGAUACACCAACACCUACUAACGGACCACCGCCUUCGUUGCUACCGCCUGUACAGCCGGAUCCCCUCGAUCAGCUGAUCGCGUGCGCUCGAGCGCUCACGGAAGACGUUCGUCAGGUUGCUAGUUUCAUUCAGGGAAAUUCCACGUUGCUUUUCAAACGAGCAUCGAUCAUUUCCACGGGCAGUAGCAAUAAUAGUGGCCCCGGGGAGGAUUACGACUACGUGAAUCUCGAUUCGCGAGAGGUCGUGGCGAAACAACGGGAGGAACUACGAGCUCUGCUACCGCAGGAGCUGCGCAGCAAUUACGAUCUGCUGGUAUCCGAGGCGGACAAUGCGGCGAUUCAGAUGCCACCCACGACACCGACGCCCAUGGACCCCAACGACAAGCAAUUGCUGGCCUUUUACGCUGCACAGGUGAUCACGCACGGAGCGCACUUGACUCACGCCAUCGACGCUUUUCUACAAACAGUCGAGCAUAAUCAACCACCCAAGGUUUUUCUGGCUCACGGUAAAUUUGUCGUGCUGAGUGCACACCGACUCGUGCACAUCGGCGACACGGUGCACCGAAACGUGACGCGCAACGACGUGCGUACACGCGUGUUGCAAUGUGCGAACGCCCUGAACGAAGCGCUCGCGCAAACCGUGCAGAAGACGAAGCAGGCCGCUCAAUUCUUCCCGAGUGUUACUGCGGUCCAGGAAAUGGUCGAUAGCGUCGUCGAUGUUUCACAUCUAGCUAAAGAUCUCAAAGUCGCCAUGAUACAGUCCGCUCAACAGCCUUGAAGAUCUUUAUCACAACACAGUCGCGUAACUACAAGUUCCUUGAAUUGAAAUGCAAUCUUUACGAUUGGUAGUUCUUUUUUUUUUCGUUAAACUCUGAGACUGCGGAAGAUUCAAACACAACGCAUCUUAGGGUUUUACACCUUGCGAUCAGAUUUGAUCGCAAUCGUUAGUAAUUCGAAGACAACGCUCGAGGAAUCAUGUUGAAUCUGUUGUUCACAUCUUUUUUGUCGAGAUUUUGAAACGUCGCUGAAAAUUCACAGCGCGUUCAUAGAAUGAAUAUUUUUUCCUGUAUAAAAAUGGAUCAAAAGUAUCUCAGGAAAUUUUCAAUGGAUGGUCCUUCAAGCGUUAUCUACGAGAUGUGAAUGGUUGAUGAUUGCUGUUAUCUCGAGCCAGCAUUAAAGAAUGCAAUGAGGAAUACGGUGAUAUUGAAGGCGCCUGAUAUUUUUAUCGAAAGAGAAAGAGCAUUAGCGCAAAAGAAGUUUGAUUGGAAUCCUGACGACAGUAUUUUUAACUCUAAACGGCGAAAUAAUCAAACAAGAUGUUCCGUAUGUAUGCUUCAAAAACCAAAUCCCCGGAUACUUACACACUUUAUGUGUACAGUACAGAGCUAAUUAUCCAUUUGCACUAUAAAAAAAUUGUGGCCUAAAAUAAGAACCUGCUACUGCCAAAGCUCCGAUAUUUAGAUCAUAAGAAACGAAAGAAACCUUGGAACGAGUGUCUUUGUAACGUACUCGAGAAUAUUAACAAUUGUAAUCUUUCAUAGAAAAUAUGUAGCCGUAUCGUUCAACUAGACAUUUCAGAUAGACGUGUUGAGUAUAACGAAGAGUUAUAAUAAUAGCUUUCUGGUACGUGCGAAGCAUUCCCGGAAUGGGCUUCCACGAAUUCGUGGUUUGAUAGACACUGUGAAGUCCAUAAUGAUCCAGGUUUCGGAAUGGAGCUCAUUUCGGAUACACGUCAACACGUACGCAGCUAAACGUGUUAGUAGUCUCAUAGAUUUCGAUCGUAUGUGAAAAAUUGACACCAAGAGAGAGAAAAUUCAAUGCAGGGAAUAUACACCUUUUGGGAUAUCCUGCGUGCAGAGACGCACUUGUAUUACUUGUUACAAAUGAUUCUUUUGGAGGACAACUUUAAACGAAAAUUUUAUAUGAAGCUUUUACUACUGGGUUACGAAUUUUUCGGACACCCAGGCCUUUUUACCAGGUUCUUCCAUAACCAAAUUAGUCACGAGCGCACACCGUGAACCGCGAUCAGCGGCGGAUCAAAUGAAAUAUUGCCGUAAGAAUUUGAACGGCAACUAUGCAUACUCGCAAUUUUUUUUCCUUCUAUACCGAGGCCUUUUUUUAUAAACCGAAUUUUUAUAGAAUAUUUUAUUAACUUAGCACAGAUUCGAGACCUCCAUAAUAGAGACUGAUGCAAACAACGCAAAUAUUUAGAAAAAUAUUGCAAAAAUUAUGUUGUCAUUUUUUUUAAGUGUCUUGCAUUUCUAUCAUGUGAUAAGUCAAUCGUGGAAUUGCAUUUUUCUAAUUAUCUUAGCAAUCAAAACUAUCUUUUUUAUAUCUUAAUACACAAUUAUAAUUAAUAACUUUGCGUUAAAAUACUAUCAAAAGAUCAUAACUAGAUUAUCUUCAAAUGCAUAAUUCUCGAAGUCAGGAAUAUAUAUACAAUUUAAUUUGCGGCGCAAAUUGUUUCGUUGGCAUCUACAUGCAAAAGUGUACUUAAAAAUAACUUGCCAACUAGUAAGAUCCGCUCGACACAAUUCGCAAAACUAUUCAACUUAUUUUACUGCGCCUCGAUUAAAUAAUAGAGAUAUAAUUGUGUGACUGUGACGCGGUUAUACUUUUAGCCGUGUAUUAAAAUAUAAGCGGCUAUUUUGUUGCAGCUUUAAUGAUAACGAGCAUUUACUAAAAUUUUUAUUCCAUAAGGAUUUUUAUCUUUCGACAUUCUCAAUUACGAGAUCGAUUGUCGUAAUUAUUAUUGUGACGUAGCUGAAGUGAUUCUUUUCGCAGAUGCGACUUAUGACAUUGAUAUCCCAUAUAGCAUCCUAUGUCCAAAAGACAUUAACAGGACAUCCUGAAGAUGUCUAAUAGCCCAAAGAUAUCUUGAUAUCUUCAAGAUAUCUGGAUACCUUCUGGACAUCUUUUGGAUAUGCAUGCUAUAUGGGAUAUUCUACAGUUUAUUUUUUAGAAAUUAUAUAUCCAAGCAUAUCGCAUAUAGAGAAACGUUUAUACAUGAACCUCGUGACCUGUAUUAUAAUUUAUUAGCGAAGCGAUUUUUUUUGUAAUAUAAUAUACAUGUGACAGGCAGUUAUAUAGAAUCUAGAAUUGUAUAUUUCGAAGUUUACAUGAUAGUCGAUAGGUGCUUAUCUUUCGCGUUCAACUAUCGUAUAUUCAGGUAUAUCAUGGUCAUUAAGUAUUAAUAGUUUUUUUCUCUUUUUAACGCAGGCUAGCGAAUGUUAUUUUAUCCGUCAAAGAAAACACGAUCUAUCGUUUCUCUUUAAUUUCCCUUUUGUACAUUGUACCUGGAUGAUCCUUUCGCAGUAAUUGUAUAUUCUUGCGAUCAUAUAUUCGUUAAACAUAUACAUAUAUGCAACGGUAUUUCAUAUUAUUGUAAACAUAAGGAAUACUUAUUAUGCUACAAGCUACAUAUCGAGAGCGAUAAUUCUAAGAUUAAGAUAGAAAAAUUGAAGAAAAGAGAAAGAAACUCUCGAUAUAGCAUACGUGAUAUCGUUUUAGAGGAAUUUACUACAUCGAAAACUCGGUUUAAUGAAUCAUGCUUUCAGUAGUAUAGCACGGACAAUUCCUGCGUUUUGUCAUUGAAAAUUUCUUCGUUGAAUGCAAAGCCUGAGAUGCGUUAUGAACUAAAUAAUUGAUUUAUGUUACGUUAAGAACACCUUAUUUGUAUAUAUACAUAGAUAUAUAUUUAUACAUAUUAUAUAUUAUAUACACAUAAAUAUUCCUAUUACAAAAACGAAGUAUGUAUACACACACACACACACACACACACACACAUAUACACACACAUGCGCAAUAGUAUGUCUGAGAUGCAAUAGUGGAAUAAACCUGUUUGAAUAUUGUGCAAUGUCAAAAAUAAUUUUUAAGCCAAAAUAUGCUGAAAUAAUCAAGAAGUAUUAAAAAGAAAAUAUCUAUCGAGAGGAAUAUUCAUAGAUUGGAUUGUAAUAUAAGUCAGAAUGUGUAAACUGAAUCCACGUUUUCAAUACUAUAAAAUAUUUUUUUUCUGCUAUCCUUUUUUUUUUUUCAACUAUACUUCAACAUCCUGAAAGAUUAAUUUUGCAUAUUGGCGCAUUAUUUGUACAUUAUAGUUUCGUUCAUACAAUAAAGUCUCAAAAGAGAAAAAAAGAUCGUGAUAAAAAAUAUAGACAAUCUUUCCAGAAAAUUCUUUAUUCUUUAUGUUACAAUUUAUUAAUUUUUAUUACAUUUUGAUGUGUGAACGAAACUCACAAUAUAUAUCUAUGCAAUAUAAACUGUCAAUUGACAGAUACAACAGU
rnacentral:misc_RNA from 1 species